CAACCUGCCGACAACACUGGGAUAGCCUUUCGAAAGAAAGAUUAAUACCGGAUGGCAUAGUUUUCCCGCAUGGGAUAAUUAUUAAAGAAUUUCGGUUGUCGAUGGGGAUGCGUUCCAUUAGGCAGUUGGCGGGGUAACGGCCCACCAAACCAACGAUGGAUAGGGGUUCUGAGAGGAAGGUCCCCCACAUUGGAACUGAGACACGGUCCAAACUCCUACGGGAGGCAGCAGUGAGGAAUAUUGGUCAAUGGACGAGAGUCUGAACCAGCCAAGUAGCGUGAAGGAUGACUGCCCUAUGGGUUGUAAACUUCUUUUAUACGGGAAUAAAGUGGGCCACGUGUGGCUUUUUGUAUGUACCGUAUGGAUAAGGAUCGGCUAACUCCGUGCCAGCAGCCGCGGUAAUACGGAGGAUCCGAGCGUUAUCCGGAUUUAUUGGGUUUAAAGGGAGCGUAGGCGGGUUGUUAAGUCAGUUGUGAAAGUUUGCGGCUCAACCGUAAAAUUGCAGUUGAUACUGGCGACCUUGAGUGCAACAGAGGUAGGCGGAAUUCGUGGUGUAGCGGUGAAAUGCUUAGAUAUCACGAAGAACUCCGAUUG
rnacentral:rRNA from 1 species